rnacentral:lncRNA from 1 species
GUUGUGUGAAUCUCAAGGUUAUAUCAUUAAAAUUAAAGAAACAGUAAUACUACAGGUUGAUUUACAGGUAUAAUAUUUUUUGGGUUACGACUUUUAUAAAAUUGUCGUGUUUGUAAUACACGCGUUUUAAUAUUAUUUAUUUGCUAUUUGCAUUUUUGUUCAUCGUUAAUAAAUGAUAAAAAAAUGAAUAUCAGUAUUGUAAGAUUAACAGUCUCCGCGUUUUGUAAAAUGUUUAAAUAGAUUCACAAAUUUAUCAUAAUAUCCUCAUUGAAAUUAUUAAUAUACGAGUUUAUAGUUUUUUAUCAUUUAUUAUGAAAAUGUGUGGACAGUUUCACAUAACUAAUUAACAGUUUUAGUUAAAUUGCCUGUUUGGUUGUUUUGUUUUACCCAGUUUGUAUCUAAAUUCAACAAACCGUACAACACGACAUCUUUAUAUUUAUUUAUUCAAAAUCAUGUUUUGUGUCAUUAAUAGUCUAACCGAUGAUCAACCAAGUAAUGGUAUUUACAUAUGAGUUACAAAUUGUACUGUCCCAGAUGUGCAUGAGUACAUUAGAUUUACUUAACUGUGUGCUCGUAACAUUUAAGCAAAUGUACUUUGUUUUAAGAUUGGUAUCAACUUCUCAAAUAAUACACGAUGGUAUUGAUGUAUAGAUUCUGCGUACUGAUGUUUUUUAUCAUCUUAACAACAUGUUUUAUAGUUCUUUCAUUUGUCUUUUCUUAUUAUUAACUAUUACUUUACUGUUGAAUGGUUUUAAUUGUGAUAUUCGUUGACGUGGCUCAGUACUUAUACAUCUCGUCAAUGUGUUUGUAUUGGUUUUCAUUUGUUGGUGGUUUGUUUUGUGUAUGCGACUUUUUUAUUUUUUUGUUCUUAUAACGUGACUCUGUACUUUAAAAGAUCUUGUCAGUAUGCUAUUGUUCUAUCAUAUGUCAUUAUGAUAUAUUUCUAUUAUGAAUUACUAUAUACGUUGAACCACAAACGUCAAAAUCAUUCAAUCGCGUAGUGGAAUUGACUAUUUGUGGAUUCUUAUAAAUUCUAUAUAUAACUUUUGGACUAGUUUAAAUCUCGGUCUAUUUCUGAAAUUUAUUCUUACAUACUUUUUAUUUUUUAACCCUGUAUGCUAACAUUGCCUAUGUAAAAUUUUAAAAUCGUUUGUAUUCACAUUGAACGACAAAUUUAUGUGACGUAUAAAAUUUUCUGACGUCAGACACUCAAAUCAAUGAAUGUGUUCGUAGAUAGUAGAUAUUUUUGUGUUCUGUUAAAUUGUUCCUUUUAAAAUUGUUAUACGAUGAUGACUGAUGUGCCCAUAUUUUGACUAUUUUAUUUAUUGUGUCUGUUCAUUUAACGCAUCAAUGUAAAUAUAACGGAAUUUGAUGAGACUGUCAUUAAAGUGAGAGGGUUAGCACUAUAGAACCAGGUUUAAUCCACCAUUUUCUACAUUUGAAAAUGCCUGUAUCAAGUCAGGAAUAUGACAGUUCUUGUCUAUUCGUUUUUGAAACGUUUUGUUUUUUGAUUUUGCCAUGUGAUUAUGGACUUUCCGAAUUGAUUUUACUCUAAGUUCAGUAUUUUUGUGAUUUUACUUUUUAAGUGAUAUCGUAAAAAGUAAAAUCACAAAAUUACUGAACUUCGAGGAAAAUUGAAAACCGAAAGUCAAGUCAAAUGGCAAAAUCAAAAGAUAAAACACAUCCAACGAAAGGACAACAAUUGUCAUAUUCCUGACUUAUGUAUAAAAUGAUGGAUUUAAUCUGUUUUGUACUGCUAAACCUCUCACUUGCAUGACAGUCGCGUCAAAUUCCAUUAUAUUGCUGACGAUGAGUAAACAAAACAGACACAAUAGGUAAAAUUGCCAAAAUAGGGGUAUAGCAGUGAUCACCGUGUCACAAUCUCAAUCAGAACAAGAACAAACAAGUAUAUAUUUAGUCGCAUAGGUUGAUAUUAUGGGUAAAGAUGAUGUUGAUUUUAAACAUAGAAUUAAGAAUUUUUGGUUAAAUAACUGUGAUCUCAGGGAAGUCUUUGCUGAAUAUCAGUAUCAUGAAAGCUAUUUUAUAUGGUAAUAAAUGAUUUUAUACAUGUAAUAUACUGUGUCUAGAUAUAUUCUAAAUACUGAAUGUGUCGUAUUUUAUGCAAUUGUCUUUCAAGAUAUGUUUAUGAUGUGAUACGAAUUACUAUGAAGGUAGCCUUAUCAUAAUUAUUAAUUUGCUAUAAUAUGAUAGAAAAUAAACUCAUCAUAGAUACCAGAAUUACAUUUUGUAUUUACGCCGGACGCGCGUUUCGUCUACAAAAGACUCAUCAGUGACGCUCAAAUCCAAAAAAAGGUCAAAUAAGGGAUGAAGAUGAAGAGCAUUGAGAACCAAAACUCCUCGAUGUUUUGCCAAACACAGCUAAGGUAAUCUAUGUCUCAGGUAGAAAAGCCUUAGUAUUUCAAAAAUGAUAAAAAGUCGUGUAAACAGUAAAAAGUGCUGACUACUGGGCUGGUGAUACCCUCGGUGUAUUUUUGAACUUGAUCAAUAUUUUGCUUUGAUAUAAGAUAUCCUUUCUUAAAUAGUUUCUUCAUAUAUAUUUUGGCAAAUGUAAAGCAAACAUUACAGUGAGAUUGCAUGUUUUUGUUAGAGUUAACGACAACAAUUGAUUUUGGACAAAUGCUCAGAAUUAGAAUAUGAAUGUUAAGUUUUUAAGAAACUUAAAUACUAAUCUCUUCAAAUGGAAAUCAUCAUAAAACAAUGUGAAUAUAAUAUAAUAGAAUAGUACAUGUAGUUAAUUUUGUAUAACCUGAUGUGCCUUUAAAUUUUUGAUUAUGAGCUAUCAUGAGAUUUCACAUGUUUAUCACAAGACCGUACUAUAAUACGAUUGAAAUAUUAUUUACUAAAUCGUACAUGGUUGACAUUUCUUUACUUUGCUAUAGAUUGCGAAAAAUAGAAAAAAAAAGAAAACUUUUCUAUUUUAAUUGACUGGAGGUGGUGGCAAUAACAGCUUUUUCAAAGGAAAUUUUCUUGAACUAUACAUACUUUUAGAUUUUGAUGAGGGUUAAUACACUGUGAAAUUUUAUAUUUUUAAGUCAGGAAUCUGAUGUACAGUGGUUGUCGUCUGUUUAUGUAGUUCAUUCGUGUUUCUGGUUUCUCCUUUUUGUAUAGAUUAUACCAUUGGUUUUCCCGUUUGAAUGAUUUUACAAUAGUAAUUUUUGGGGCCCUUUAUAGCUUGUUGUUCGGUGUUAGCCAAGGCUCCGUGUUUAAUGCCGUACCUUGACCUGUAAUGGUUUACUUUUAUAAAUUAUUACCUGGAUGGAGAGUUGUCUCAUUGACACUCUUUUAGUUUGUAUCAACUAACAUAGAACCUUUCUAAAAAUAUGCGAUAUCGCAUUUAAAAAUGAAAUUAUAUGUAUCUAAAUUCUAUAAUUUUAUUUAACAUGUUUAAAUAAGAAAAAAAGUUAAGCAAUUGUAUGUGUGUAUGCAUUACAGUGAUCCGUCAAUGUCUUAAAAACUAUUAUGGUAUAUAUCAAAUCAAAGUUUGUGAUGUAUUUCAAGCUUUGUUUUCACUUUCAGUUUUAGAUUCAAUUAUAACAUGGCUAUCUAUUGUUUGAGAUGCAAAAGAAAUACUCCAACUAGAGGUGCAAGGAUUAUCGUAGUCAGAGACAGAAAUGGGACUCCGCAUCAGACGACAGUGGGUUUUUGUGGAGUGUGUGGAUCAGAAAAACGACAAUUCAUAAACUGAAUGUUGUACUGCAUAUCUCUUGAUAGGAAAAUGCCUGACAUCUUGGACAAUUUUUUUAACAUGAAACUUUCAAAUUUAUUUUAUUCUACAAAGAAAGUACUUAAUCUUGA